AUUGAACGCUGGCGGCAGGCUUAACACAUGCAAGUCGAGCGGAGAUGAGGUGCUUGCACCUUAUCUUAGCGGCGGACGGGUGAGUAAUGCUUAGGAAUCUGCCUAUUAGUGGGGGACAACAUUCCGAAAGGAAUGCUAAUACCGCAUACGUCCUACGGGAGAAAGCAGGGGAUCUUCGGACCUUGCGCUAAUAGAUGAGCCUAAGUCGGAUUAGCUAGUUGGUGGGGUAAAGGCCUACCAAGGCGACGAUCUGUAGCGGGUCUGAGAGGAUGAUCCGCCACACUGGGACUGAGACACGGCCCAGACUCCUACGGGAGGCAGCAGUGGGGAAUAUUGGACAAUGGGGGGAACCCUGAUCCAGCCAUGCCGCGUGUGUGAAGAAGGCCUUAUGGUUGUAAAGCACUUUAAGCGAGGAGGAGGCUACUGAGACUAAUACUCUUGGAUAGUGGACGUUACU
rnacentral:rRNA from 1 species